AUGACACCCUGGGUCACUUCUGUAGACAGUGUGUGUUAUACAUUCGUGCACAAAAACCCGUCAAAUGUAUUUUUGGUACCAAGCAUGUGGUUCCUCUGGGAAUCGAACACAUGACACUGCCCUCUGCUUCUAAGGCAGGUUAAAGACUCCAAAACUGGUGAUGCGAUACGGCAGCGCCCCCUAAACUUUGUUUUAAAUUAAACUGUGUUGUCCAGUGGCAUUUAUAAAUGCAGGUUUUUGUUAAGAAUUAAACACUACACCAGUCA